CUGUUUCAGUGGAUCUCAGUUAAAUAAGAACCAAAUCAAUUGAAGUAGACUGAACUCCUGUGUCAAGUCUGAACUUCUCAGUAAAGAUUUACCAGAGUGAUGCAUCAAUGCAUGAUGCAUUAGCUACAAACUGUGCUUACUAAAGGUCAGAUCCUGCAUCACUAAAGUUGAUAAGAAUUUGCCAUUGACUUCAGUGACUUCAAGGGUUAUUGAAAAGUCAUCUACAGUACAGUCUGUUUCAGUAAGCAUCAAUGACUACUAAGAAGAAUUCCUUCCAGAAAACAAGCAAAAUCCACACCUCUUGCUUAAUAAAGGGCUGUGGUACACAGCUGCCCCCGAAAUGCCAUUCAAAUGGCUAGGAAUCUUUUCCUUAUCUGCCAGAUGAAAAAAGAGUCAGGUAUUGACUGACCGCCUGAAGAGUAUGUCUCUAUCUAAGCCCCAUUUUCUUUAUCAGCUCUGCCCAAGGAAUAGUAUCAUUAGACUCAGUUACACAGGGUAACUAUAACUAGCUUGGAAGAGAACAUGAAUGUAACAGUAACCAGUGGAGUGAGGGCUACUGACUGCUGCCCUGACAUGCACCAGGAUUAACUUCUAUAAAUCUAAUCGACGUCAGGUGGCUGAUGACUAGGGCCAGGAAAAAAAGACCAGUCUCUUGCCAACAUUCCUGUGCAUCACACCUUCAUUACAGUAGGAAAAGGAGAAAUGUGGCCUGCUUGGUUCACGAAGAUACUGCAAGGAGCCCAAUGUAGCACUUUUGGUUUUGGAGGAACGUAGCAUUUUUAGUGCAAGGUUCCAGGAGUUGUCUUGGUCUGGAGUGAAGCUAUCCCUCCAUGAAGCCUAAAGGAAUUCCCCCACUCUCACAUCAAAUGCAGGGCGGAUCCCUAGGGAUGCAUCACUCCUCCAGUAGGAUUGCCAACCUUCUGGGAUUGGCCUGGAGUCUCCUGGAAUUGGAAUUGAUCUCCCGUUGACUAUUGAAAGCAAUCCAGGAGAUUUUAAUAGGAUAUUUUAAGAAAAUGACAUUAUGUAAUAUUGGGGGGGAAAUCUGGAAUAGCUUCAAUCACAGUUGCCAGCCCUAUCCUCUAGCAUGGGAAGGCAGUGAGUGGGAGCUGGUGUCCAGGGAGAAGAUCAAUAGAUUUUUGAGGGGGCCUGAAGGGCAGCUUAGUAGCCUGGCUUGUCCUAACAGUUUUCUGUCAGAAAAUUCUGUUUGGAUCAAACCAAAUUCUUUUCACAAAAUCAUAUAGAUUAUGGAAAAAAAAUAUUUGAAAAAAAAAAUAGAUUUUUUUUUUAAAUAUUGAAAUGUCCCAUGUUGACAUUUUCAGAAUGAAACAUUCCGAUUUUUCAUUUUAAAACAAUUUUUCAUUUUGAAAUUCCACUUUCUUUUAUAUAAAAAAAAAAUCCAGAAAGGUCAAAAUCUAACCAAAACAGUUCAGAUUUAUUCCAAUUUUUUUGAAAGGGUUCCCAAGAGCCAUGAGAAUGAUUAAAGAUUAGAAAACAUGUCUUAUAGUGAUAGUUUCAGGAAACUCAGUCUAUUUAGUUUAACAAAGAAAAGGUUAAGGUGUGUCUUGGUCACAGUUUAUAAGGGCCAACCUGGGAAACAAGUAUGUGACACCUGGGGAACAAGUAUGUGAUAAUGGGCUCUUCAGUCUAGCAGCAAAAGGUGUUAGACAGUGGUGGGCAACCUGCGGCCCGCAGGGAUGUACUGGCUGCCACUUCCCACAGCUCCCAUUGGCUGGGAACAG